ACUUUGUGUUUGAGGGGGAUUAUGAUUAUUAUUAGUAUUAUCACUUUUGAAAAAUAAUGAAAACAAAGUAUAUUUAUUCAAAAGCAGCGCACAAAAUGCUUCAAUCUCAUUGAAAACAAUCACAAAAAGCCGCCCCAGGCUGCUAAAACGCUCUCUGUCUGAUCGGGGCCUUAGAGGUCGCCUGAGAUCUACGUUUUUCAUCACCAACGACUGCUUCUCUGUCAUUGUUGUGCAUAUGACAAUAAAGAACUUGAAACUCAAAUUGUUUUGGUCCGACCAACGAUGCAAAACCCAAAGAUAUUCAAUUUACUCUAACGUGAGUCAAAGAAGAGCAAAGAAUGUUUUACUUUUCUGCUUGAAAUAUUACUGAAAAGGCGAUCAAAAUAGUCGCUGAGUGAUUCUGCUCCAUGUGCAAGACUUACUAUGAUAAAUAUUGAUCAGAUUCAUUGCAGAUGAGAUGAGAUGAGACGAGACAAAGUUAUGGAUUAAAAUCAGCUCCUGAUGGAACCAAUUUGCAGACUGGAAGAUUCCAAUUGAUCGCAACCCGUUAGUCUUCAACCCUCUGGUGGUGGUGUGAGUCACUCUACUGUAUUGUUAUGGUCGGAUAUAUUGUGCACCAUGUGGUUAUGUGCCAUUUGGGUGACUGGUGAUAUUGUUGGUCAGAUAUUCGGCUGAUAAAGUGUCCUCUGUGUUUUUGCUUCAUGAAUGGACUCUAGUCAUGGUUCAACCACACUGGCCAGAAAACACAGAAGUCACAUAUUUGCAGGAGGAAGUGUGUAAGUGUUUGUGUGUGUGUGUGUGUGUGUGUUUGUGAGUGUGUGUGUGUGUGUGUGUGUGUGUGUGU